rnacentral:rRNA from 1 species
CAUUAACGGAGAGUUUGAUCCUGGCUCAGGACGAACGCUGGCGGCGUGCUUAACACAUGCAAGUCGAACGAUGAACCAGAGCUUGCUCUGGGGAUUAGUGGCGAACGGGUGAGUAACACGUGGGCAACCUGCCCCUAACUCUGGGAUAACUCCUCGAAAGAGGUGCUAAUACCGGAUAUGAACUGGGAAGACAUCUUCCUGGUUGGAAAGUUUUUCGGUUAGGGAUGGGCCCGCGGCCUAUCAGCUUGUUGGUGAGGUAAAGGCUCACCAAGGCGACGACGGGUAACCGGCCUGAGAGGGCGACCGGUCACACUGGGACUGAGACACGGCCCAGACUCCUACGGGAGGCAGCAGUGGGGAAUAUUGCGCAAUGGACGAAAGUCUGACGCAGCGACGCCGCGUGAGGGAUGAAGGUCUUCGGAUUGUAAACCUCUUUCAGCAGGGACGAAGCGAAAGUGAC